GGAUCGAUGAAGGGAACACUUCCCUGAGGACGCUGAGGGACUCGUUUCAGAUGUCAAUCUGAGGUCC
ensembl:snoRNA